rnacentral:sRNA from 1 species
GUUGCUGAAAACCUCCCCCAGCCUGCCUCUUGCCAGCAUGUUCCAUCUUCCUUUUUUAGCACCUACCACCUUCACAUAUAUUAUUUACUUAUUUUUAUUGUCUGUUUCUCCCUGCCACGAGAGACAGAGAUUUUUACCCCUAGCACCUGGAACUGUUCCUGGUAUCAGAGGCAUUAAAAUGUUUGUUGGAUGGAUUAAUGAAUGAGAAGAGAAGGCUGGGCUGAAUGGCUCACGCCUAUAAUCCCAGCACUUUGGGAAGCCAAGAGACUCCUUCAGCAGUCGUCAUUUCUGUCUGGGUGAUUGAGACCCAGCCCAGACCUGAAUGCGGACACUAAAAAGAUUUAAAGACUUUGAGAGUCCCCCAGCUUUCUGACCCUGGCUUUUGUGGAGAGGUCUGGGAAGAUGGGAGAUAGUGAGCUCAAAGAAGGAGAAGAUAAUGGCUUAUGUCCCACAUUUUCUCCCAGGGUUUGUCAAGGGCUAUUUAAUGAGUUACUAGAAAAUGGGAUU